UUAACUUAUUAUACUUUACUCAGACGACACUAAUAUUCAGGGUUUGGGUCCUCUGGCAGGCGCACGCCAGCGUGAGCCGGCGGCAGGAGACCUGGCGGCCUGCCAAAGCAACAAAGGUAAUUUAGGCACGGGUGGGAACUCUGCCCGUAAGGGCGAAUUCGGUAAUGAUCCCUCCGCAGGUUCACCUACGGAGA
rnacentral:misc_RNA from 1 species